GGGGCAGAUCGGGCGAUCGCGGUGCCGUCAGGCAUCGAGGAAGGUCCGGACUCCAUCGGGCGCGAUAGCGGCUAACGGCCGUCCGGCGAUCCUUUCGGGGAAAGCCGAGGAACAGGGCCACAGAGACGAGUCUGCCGCGGGGGUGCGCCGCGAGGUGCACACCGGUACGGCCAUCUCCGUACCGUCCGUCCGGCCCGUCCGGGCGGUCCGCGGCAGGGUGAAACGCGGCAACCUCUAUCGGGAGCAACAUCAAAUAGGCAUGCGCCGGCUUCGUGCCGACAGGGCGGCCCGUCCGAGCAUGCGGGUAGAUGGCUAGAGCGGUCCAGCAAUGGCCCGCCCAGAGGAAUGAUCGCCCGCCGGGGCAACCCGGCGUACAGAAUCCGGCCUACAGAUCUGUUCCGCUU
rfam:Castellaniella defragrans 65Phen complete genome